rnacentral:rRNA from 1 species
UCCUACGGGAAGCAGCAGUAGGGAAUCUUCCACAAUGGACGAAAGUCUGAUGGAGCAACGCCGCGUGAGUGAAGAAGGGUUUCGGCUCGUAAAGCUCUGUUGGGAGUGAAGAAAGAUAGAGGGAGUAACUGGCCUUUAUUUGACGGUAAUUACUUAGAAAGUCACGGCUAACUACGUGCCAGCAGCCGCGGUAAUACGUAGGGUGCAAGUGGUAUCCGGAUUUACUGGGGGUAAAGGGCG